rnacentral:rRNA from 1 species
AUUGAACGCUGGCGGCAUGCCUUACACAUGCAAGUCGAACGGCAGCACGGGUGCUUGCACCUGGUGGCGAGUGGCGAACGGGUGAGUAAUACAUCGGAACAUGUCCUGUAGUGGGGGAUAGCCCGGCGAAAGCCGGAUUAAUACCGCAUACGAUCCACGGAUGAAAGCGGGGGACCUUCGGGCCUCGCGCUAUAGGGUUGGCCGAUGGCUGAUUAGCUAGUUGGUGGGGUAAAGGCCUACCAAGGCGACGAUCAGUAGCUGGUCUGAGAGGACGACCAGCCACACUGGGACUGAGACACGGCCCAGACUCCUACGGGAGGCAGCAGUGGGGAAUUUUGGACAAUGGGCGAAAGCCUGAUCCAGCAAUGCCGCGUGUGUGAAGAAGGCCUUCGGGAUGUAAAGCACUUUUGUCCGGAAAGAAAUCCUUGGCUCUAAUACAGUCGGGGGAUGACGGUACCGGAAGAAUAAGCACCGGCUAACUACGUG